rnacentral:rRNA from 1 species
GAUGAACGCUGGCGGCGUGCCUAAUACAUGCAAGUCGAGCGAAUGGAUUAAGAGCUUGCUCUUAUGAAGUUAGCGGCGGACGGGUGAGGAACACGUGGGUAACCUGCCCAUAAGACUGGGAUAACUCCGGGAAACCGGGGCUAAUACCGGAUAAUAUUUUGAACUGCAUGGUUCAAAAUUGAAAGGCGGCUUCGGCUGUCACUUAUGGAUGGACCCGCGUCGCAUUAGCUAGUUGGUGAGGUAACGGCUCACCAAGGCAACGAUGCGUAGCCGACCUGGGAGGGUGAUCGGCCACACGGGGACUGAGACACGGCCCAGACUCCUACGGGAGGCAGCAGUAGGGAAUCUUCAGCAAUGGACGAAAGUCUGACGGAGCAACGCCGCGUGAGUGAUGAAGGCUUUCGGGUCGUAAAACUCUGUUGUUAGGGAAGAACAAGUGCUAGUUGAAUAAGCUGGCACCUUGACGGUACCUAACAAGAAAGCCACGGCUAACUACGUGCCAGCCGCCGCUGUAA